AAUCUGGGGUCGACGACCCUCGAGUUGUAAUUUGGAGAGGCAUCCUCCGGGAGGAGCGCUGGCCCAGGUUCCUUGGAACAGGACGUCACAGAGGGUGAGAAUCCCGUGCCAGGCUGGCUGCCUCCUCCGGCGUGGAGGGCCUUCGACGAGUCGAGUUGUUUGGGAAUGCAGCUCCAAGUGGGUGGUAGAUUUCAUCUAAAGCUAAAUACCGGCGGGAGACCGAUAGCGCACAAGUAGAGUGAUCGAAAGAUGAAAAGCACUUUGAAAAUAGAGUCAAAAAGUACGUGAAAUUGUUGGAAGGGAAGCGCUUGAGGCCAGACUCGGACCCGAGCAAACAUCGAGCCCCUCGGGGCCGUGCAAUUGCUCGGUGCCGGGCCAGCAUCGGUUGGCGUGGCGGGACAAAGGUGCGGGGAAUGUGGCUCCCCUCGGGGUGUGUUAUCAGGCCCGCGCCCCAUGCCGUCGACGCCGACCGUGGACCGCGCCCUACGGGCUAGGAUGCUGGCUUAAUGGCCUUCAGCGACCCGUCUUGAAACACGGACCAAGGAGUCUAACAUCUAUGCGAGUGUUUGGGCGUCAAACCCUUGCGCGUAAUGAAAGUGAGCGGAGGUGGGAACCCCUCACCGGGCGCACCAUCGACCGAUCCUGAUGUCUUCGGAUGGAUUUGAGUA
rnacentral:rRNA from 1 species